CCCACCUCCCCCAAUCAGAAGGAAGCUUGCUCCUAUUCUAGGGCCAGGGGAUGGGGGGUCCCCCAAAGCUGAGCCAAUCAGGACCCUACAUGAAGCCCUAGCCUCACCAUCAGGUGCCCAGAUCCAACCCUUGCCUCCCUUGAAUCCCGAUCACGGACUGCCUGGGGUCUCCGCAGGCGAGAGGUCGUCUCAGCAGGAAAGGGAAGGCUGCAGUGAAAACGGACAAGGGAGGCGGCAGAGGGACCCGGCCCGAGUCCUUAGGACUGAAGUGGGUGUGCUGGAAGCUGACAGAGGCCCUUGGGCCCUGAACAGAUGGAGAACUGGAAGAGAGGGCGGUACCUGACCCCAGCCACCCAUCCGAGCCCCCUGGGGCUGCAGACACCUGUUUGCAGAUGGAGCACAGUGAAUCUGGACCCUAGCUCUACACCGCGACCCACCAGGGGAGAUCGUGACCCCGCCCCUCCCGGCAUGUCUCCUGGUCUCACCACAAGCCAGAAGUGAAAUGGAGAUGUAUGCUGAUUUAAGGAAAGUGUUAGAUGGAAAUGUACUUCCUUUAUUAUAUAGGGAGAUAUUUUUAAGUGCAUAUAAAUAAACAUUUUUAAUUUGCUUAAACGUU